rnacentral:rRNA from 1 species
CACGUAGGGCGCGAGCGUUGUCCGGAAUUAUUGGGCGUAAAGAGCUCGUAGGCGGCCUGUUGCGUCCGCUGUGAAAUCCUGGGGCUCAACCCUGGAACUGCAUUGGAUACUGCCUUGCUAGAGAACUGGAGAGGAGACUGGAAUUUACGGUGUAGCAGUGAAAUGCGUAGAGAUCGUAAGGAAGACCAGUGGCGAAGGCGAGUCUCUGGACAGUUACUGACGCUGAGGCACGAAGGCCAGGGGAGCAAACGGG